rnacentral:rRNA from 1 species
GAUGAACGCUGGCGGCGUGCCUAAUACAUGCAAGUCGAGCGAACAGACGAGGAGCUUGCUCCUCUGACGUUAGCGGCGGACGGGUGAGUAGCACGUGGAUAACCUACCUAUAAGACUGGGAUAACUUCGGGAAACCGGAGCUAAUACCGGAUAAUAUAUUGAACCGCAUGGUUCAAUAGUGAAAGACGGUUUUGCUGUCACUUAUAGAUGGAUCCGCGCCGCAUUAGCUAGUUGGUAAGGUAACGGCUUACCAAGGCAACGAUGCGUAGCCGACCUGAGAGGGUGAUCGGCCACACUGGAACUGAGACGCGGUCCAGACUCCUACGGGAGGCAGCAGUAGGGAAUCUUCCGCAAUGGGCGAAAGCCUGACGGAGCAACGCCGCGUGAGUGAUGAAGGUCUUCGGAUCGUAAAACUCUGUUAUUAGGGAAGAACAAAUGUGUAAGUAACUAUGCACGUCUUGACGGUACCUAAUCAGAAAGCCACGGCUAACUACGUG